rnacentral:rRNA from 1 species
UACGUAGGGGGCUAGCGUUGUCCGGAAUCAUUGGGCGUAAAGCGCGUGUAGGCGGUCCCGUAAGUCCGCUGUGAAAGUCGGGGGCCCAACCCUCGGAUGCCGGUGGAUACUGUCGGGCUUGAGUACGGAAGAGGCGAGUGGAAUUCCUGGUGUAGCGGUGAAAUGCGCAGAUAUCAGGAGGAACACCAAUUGCGAAGGCAGCUCGCUGGGACGUUACUGACGCUGAGACGCGAAAGCGUGGGGAGCAAACAGG